GCAUCGGUGGUUUAGUGGUAAAAUUAGCCGUUGCCAUCAGUCUCGGCUAGCCCCGGGUUCGAUUCCCGGCCGAUGCA
rnacentral:tRNA from 1 species